rnacentral:rRNA from 1 species
UACAGAGGGGGCAAGCGUUGUUCGGAAUUACUGGGCGUAAAGGGCGCGUAGGCGGCCUUCUAAGUCGAACGUGAAAUCCCCGGGCUCAACCCGGGAACUGCGUCCGAUACUGGAAGGCUUGAAUCCGGGAGAGGGAUGCGGAAUUCCAGGUGUAGCGGUGAAAUGCGUAGAUAUCUGGAGGAACACCGGUGGCGAAGGCGGCGAUCCUGGACCGGUAUUGACGCGUGAGGCGCGAAAGCCAAGGGAGCAAAGCGGG